UACGGGGGGGGCAAGCGUUGUUCGGAAUUACUGGGCGUAAAGGGCUCGUAGGCGGCCAACUAAGUCAGACGUGAAAUCCCUCGGCUUAACCGGGGAACUGCGUCUGAUACUGGAUGGCUUGAGAUUGGGAGAGGGAUGCGGAAUUCCAGGUGUAGCGGUGAAAUGCGUAGAUAUCUGGAGGAACACCGGUGGCGAAGGCGGCAUCCUGGACCAACACUGACGCUGAGGAGCGAAAGUGUGGGGAGCGAACAGG
rnacentral:rRNA from 1 species